UACGUAGGGGGCAAGCGUUGUUCGGAAUUACUGGGCGUAAAGGGCGCGUAGGCGGCAUGUCAAGUCGGGAGUGAAAGCCCGGGGCUCAACCCCGGAACGGCUUUCGAAACUGCCAAGCUAGAGUACGGAAGGGGCAACUGGAAUUCCCAGUGUAGCGGUGAAAUGCGUAGAUAUUGGGAAGAACACCGGAGGCGAAGGCGGGUUGCUGGGCCGAUACUGACGCUGAGGCGCGAAAGCCAGGGGAGCAAACGGG
rnacentral:rRNA from 1 species